rnacentral:tRNA from 1 species
GUUCGGGUAGCUCAGCGGUAGAGCAAAGGAUUGAAAAUCCUUGGGUCGGUGGUUCAAUCCCACUCCUGGACA